GUCCACAGCCCUGCUGUUGGCUGACUGGAAGAUGCUGAAAUCGAAUUUCAGGGAAGCCUGUGCGGCUCUGCUGUGCACCUUCACGUGGUGAGUUUAAUGUCAGUCACAUGAGUUUUAUUCUAAUAAAAGUGCCCUUGAAAACGCACGGUGAGGCUAGCAGGACGGCUCAGCACAUCAAGCCACUGGCUGCCACGCCUGGCAAUCAGAGUUCUGUACCAGGACCCACAUGAUGGGAGGAGUGGAAGGAGGAUCACCAGUUCCCGCAAGUUGUCCCCUGAACGCUACAUGCCUGCCACAAUGUGCUUGUGUGAUUCCCCCAAUACUUAGAUUAUUUUUUGUUUGUUUGUGUUUGUUUUUUAAAAAAACCCAUUUGGAAAAUGCGUGAAAAGAAACAAACUCUUUGAUGACAGGACUAUCUUAGAUUGUUGAUCUUUAGUACCCUACUUUUCAGCUUCCACAAUGAGAAUGCUGGUUUUUGCUUGUGCCCACAUACAUGUUUCCAGAAUGUCAUAAUUUAGGGAAAUACAUAAAAGACCAAAGGAACAAUUAUUAUAGAAAACGAAGCCUUCUCACGGAUGGUCUGUAAUUCCUACCUUGGCCCCUAAGAUGGAGUCAUGUGUUGAACACAUUCCUGUCGCUAUAUCACAAUGCUGGAGGCAAGCAAGUUACAAAGAGAAAACGUUCAUUUCAACAGUUUAGAGGCUGCCAGUCCAUUGUUAUCGGGCAGAUAACUUUUGACCUGGCCUGGCACACACUGGCACAUCGUGGCAAGUGCAUGGUAGAGCUAACUACUCACUUUGAGACAAGGAAGCAAAGAAGGUGGAAAGGACCAAGAUUCCAGAGUCCUCUUUGUUAUUAUCACACUCCCGGUAACCAGGAUUCUUCUCUCAGGCUCCGCUGCCUCUCCACAGUGCCGCUUAGGGGCCAAGCUUUCGACACACGUGCCAUUGUGCAGGACACUCAAGAUCCAAAGUGCAGCAGGAUGCUUGCCUCCAUUGUUCCCACUCUACCCUGUCGUUAGUCCUGUGAACAAUUUUUUAGUGAUUGUGAUGGGAUACUUCUGAGCCAGGGCAUUUAAUCACCAGUGCAAACCCCUCAGAGCUUUCUCCCUGCUGCACCAUCUGUGAACACUCAGAUGGGGGCCACUGUGCCAGCUCCGUCCUAGAAGGAGAACAAAGUAACAGGCAGGAUGGCCAUGCCAUAGGACUAAGGUACAGAGCUUUGCUGUUUGAAGACACUGAGGUUGCGGUGUGAACUUUAGACACUGGGGUUGCUGUGUGACCUUUUCCUAGAAGGUGUAAACCCUGUCUGCUCCCCCGGAUAAGGCACCAAUGACAGACCAAAGUAAUGCUCCCACCCAAGUCCAGCUUGGUCAGCCAAUGAGUCUAUUGAUCCGCCUUCCAGAAGUAUGGGUGAAGGGUGACUUAUAGGAAUGCAGGUGAUCCCUGGCAUGCGCAGAUGAACUCCUGCUUCUAUUAACACUCAGCACUUCAGGUACUCUCCUACUUCCCAAGACCUUGUGCAGCUUGGGCAGAAUAACAUAAAGCUAGGGAAAAGGGGCAGGAGAGAAUGGCUGGAAUCUCAGGUGACGGGCUGAUUGUUGGGGACUGUGGACCCCCAGACCCUGACUUGCCUGUGACCUCCUGCCUGCCAGAGUAAACAACGUGUUUUCCUAUGCUUGCGGUUGCUCUGAGCAAACAGCUUGUUUUGCAGCUGCUCUGAACAUGAGACCUUCAGGAGUUUCUGAUGUCUGUGGAGUGGUUUCUGGGGUGCUUGCAGCUGAGAGCUAGGGUGUGGCCAUUAGUCAAGGACAGCCUAUAUAAGCUGCCCUGGAACACAAUAAAGAGUCAUUCGGGGCAUUCUUGGCGUUACCUGUGUCUCUGUGUGUUUGUGUGUGUUUCUAUCUCCAGGUCCUUGCCUGACUCGCAAACCAUGGCGCGUGAGCAGGCGUUGCGCUACAGCUGAUGGCUCUCCCCACCUCAGACCAGGCCUUGUUCCAGGUCUCUACAGUGACCGUGGCCUUGGGAAAGGAGAAGAACUAGAGGCCGGGGAGAAAAGAAGAGAUCCCCAAGUCUACAACCCAGACAAGGCAAGAGGAGCUUCAUCUCCAAUUAGAAAGGCAGAGCUGAUGGGGUGGCAGCGGUCACAGGAGACUCCUCGAGCAUCUGGUCUAAGGGCCCCGUUUGUCACAGUCCUAGAACUCAAUGGCUUUGUGUCUCCAAGGAGUUCCACCUUUAGCGCGGAUCCAAAAUCAUCCGUUUCAUCAGUCUGCGACUCCGUCCUGCUCCCCAGCCGAUAACCUUUCCCAGGGUUCCUGACAUCUCCUAACUGAUCUGUCUCACCCUCGUCCUCCAGACUGUCAACACCACAGAGUAGCCCUUCGAAGACACACCAAAUCAUGUGACCAUCCAGGAGCUUUCUGUCUGAACCAGAGUGAAAGCCAAAGUCCCACGGAUGAAGAACCAGGACCUACACAAUCUGUUCCCGAUUUUCCCCUUUGCCUUGCUCAUCUUUGGACUCAUCAGUUGAGCUCUCGCCCCAGGGCCUUUGCACAGGCUCUUCCCUGAGUGUUUCCCCAGUUAAAUGAUACUCUCGGCCUCAUUAGCAUUUUGUAGACAUCCUCAUCCAUUCGGAUUUCGGUCUGUUCCUAUGAGUGCCACCCUAGUGUCCCUGAAAGCAUCUCUAGGUCACCAAAUGAGUCCCUACCACAAAGGGGGCUUAGCAGGCAGCAGACACAGCUUUGGCGUUAGGAAGACUUGGAGGGAAUCAACUGAGUUGUGUUUUUGCCCCUCCAUGGCCCACUCUGCUUCUACCACUUUUCUCUCUUCCUUUUCCUCCCCUUCUUCCUUCCUCAAUCUCUGCUUAUUCAAGUGGGACCUUCCUUUUAACAGUAAGCUUAAAUGUCACUUUCUUUGAGUGACAAGACACAGUGCUGCUGUACAUUGUAAUGUUUUGACUGUCAGGGCCACUGUGAAUAGGGUUUUGACCAGGUCUCAAGAGGCUCCAUCUUCCUACCAUGUGAAUAAACACAUCCAUAGCCAUUUUGCACCCACCCAGCGGGGCCGAAGGGAGGCUUUGCAGAGAUAAUAUAACUUGUGGCAAGGGGUGGGUUCUGUUUCAAUAUUAAGUCCCAUUGUCUUCAUAACACACCCGAGGCAGAAACUGCAGGUGCCAGCACAUUCCCCAUUCCUGAUUUCCUGGCAGUAGCCAGCCCCUGGGUUCCUUUGCCUUUCCUGUGAGGUACAUUUCCCCGGUACCCCUCAUAUUUUUACCUGAGGAUUACUUCUGGGGUGAGGGUUCUAACUAAGCCGUUGUUGGGGUUCCAUCCACCCCCACAUUGCUAUAUAGCUCCCAGAAGCCCGAAACUCUGACCUCAGCAAUUAACCCAUACUUUGAACCUUAGACACUUAAUAAAUUCUAAUCAAAAUCAUUGACUCCUGGCCAAAUCCAAAUCCACUGACCAGAUCCAGGACCAAGAGGAAGAGAGCUCUCCAGCUCACAGACAUAUUACUGCUUCAGAUGCUGGCCAAAGCUCUCAGACAGCGCCAUUCUCAAAUCACGGACUCACCACCCUGCCAAGAGACACCAUUGGCUGGAUAAGGACCCACAGGGGCUCAAGAGAGUGAAUCCUCAGGAUGGGUGAGGCAUCAUGGCAGCUCCAUAUCACUGGCCAAGGCAAGUCACAUAGCCAGGCCGUACCAUGAGCAGCCCUGUGGAAGGCCCAGUGAUGAGGAACGGAGGCCUCCAGCCAACAGCCAUGAGAAGGAGCCUCCUUAGAGAUGGCUCCUCCACCCUCGUCCUAGAGGAAGCUACCACCCGAGCUAACAGUCCAUGACCGCAUGUGCCCAAACCAGCUGAGUCACCUUCAGGGUCCUAUCCCUAAGGACCUUGUACAUAGGCUGAGAAGUCCGAAAUGGUGUUUCCAAUUUUAGCGUUCAGAUUUAAGACUACUUGCCGAUUGCUCAUUCGAAACCUCUAAAUCUGGAACAUUCCAGAAGGAGAAAUCCAAGUUUGAAGUAUUUCAGAGUUUUAAAAUUGGUAUUGUCAUAGUACGGUGUGUAGUGCUGGUGUCCCACAGCAAGCAUGCCAGGUCAGCUUUUGGGAAUUGUCGGCCUCCUUCCCCCUUUGUGGGGGCUCUGCGGGCAAAAAGGUUUCUAGAACUGUAUGGUACAGUUGCCACCCUUCCCACUCCAUUCAAGAUUCUGGUUGUCAGCUUACUCUGCCUGUAACAGAAUUGGUGUUUGUUUUAAGCUGCUGUGUUCUGGGGUAAUUUGCUAUAUAGCAAUAGGUGUCUAAGACACCAGCUGAAAGUUUAAUGUUCAUUUUUAUAACUAUGCAUAGGUCACGUAAGUUUUGGAGCACUCGAUUUGGCUUUAUGUCAUCUGAAGUGAGUGAUGGAGCUUUCUGGGUGUGUUUCAAGGUGAAUUUGGGUUUUCUUGUUUUAUUACAUUCAUAAACCCUUGUGAUGCUCAUGCAUCUGUAAGGAAAAUACAUAUGGUGGCUCAUGCCUGUAAUCACAGCUUAGCAGCUGGAGGCCAGCUGAGGCUACAUAACGAGUUCUAAUCGAGGGAGACUCUUGUCUCAAAAAUUAAAAAAAGAAUAUUAAAAAAAUUAAAGUCUGUGUGUAAGCGUGUAAAAGUUGGGGAGAUGAUUCAAUCAGGAAAGUGUCACGUGUGGUAGUUUGAAUAAAAAUGGCCCCCAUAGUCCCAUAGGGAGUAGCACUAUUAGAAGCUGUGUUGGAGGAAGUGUCAAUGAAGGCCGGCUUUGAGGUCUCUCAUGCUCAAGCCGUGCCCAGCUUUCUCUUCCUGAUGUCUGCUGAUCCAGAUGUAGAACUCUCAGCUACCUCUCCAGCACCACGUCCGCCUGUGUGUUACCUUGUACACAGUGACCACGGGAACCAUGAUGAUAAUGGACUAAACCUCUGAAACUGUAAGCCAGUCCUUUAUAAAAGUUGCUGUGGUCAUGGUGUCUCUUCACAGCGAUAGAAACUCUUUACGACACCACGUAAACAUGAGAGAGGCUCUGGGUUUGGAUCCCUGGCACCCACAUCCAAUGAAAUCUGGUAUGGUGGCUCAUGUCCAGAGACAAGAGGAUUUCCUCAUCCUUGAUGGCCAGCUAGCUUUGCCAAAUUAGUGAGCUCCAAGUUCAGUGAGAGACCUUGUCUGAAAGUCUAAGGGUGGAAAGCAAUAGGAGGAGACAGCUGUGUCAACUUCUGGUGUCAAUCAGCACUUCUCCCAACAGCAGGUAUCCAUCACACACACACACACACACACACACACACACACACACUCAUACACUCAAACACAAAUGAUAGGAAAAGUAGAAACACAAGCGACAAGUUGGAGCCUGGGUGUAGGUGGUGACUGUCGUUUAUCUGGAGUAGAGUGGCCAGGCCCGGGUGUUUACAGGAAGCAGGAACACCACUUCUUCAGGCAGGUGGAGCUCUGGCGGGCUUCAUGCUCUGUGGCCCCACAGCAACAAAUGAGCCACCUCUGGAACUCUGCCUCGUUCUUGUGCAUGAGAAGGAACUGUCCCAGCAGGAUAUAGGCCUGGGAAGAAGAACGUGUGGGGGGAAGAUGGGGUUAUCAGAAUCCCACUCAGAAGUGCCUGCCCUCCCCCCACCAUCGGUUGACAAUCAAAGGUUAGGGUGCGGGUCAGACCAGAGGGGUCGGUCGUCAGGUCAACUCCUGACAAACCCCGAGGAAAGGUGAGGUCAAGUUAAUUACAUGUGUCUCUCAGACCUGGUCUAGCGGCUGUCGUAAUGCAGCGACCGCUAAGCCUUGUCCUCAAACUUGAAAAAAAAAUUCUCAGGGAUCUUGUAAAAGAGAAGUCUCUGACUCAGUAUCUAAAACUAGGGUGGGGUUCGAGACUCCCCAUUUCUAAUAGGCUCCCAGAUGAGGUUGGGUCAAAGACUGUUUGGGGAGGAUAAUGGAUAGGUGACUAACAUACCUCUGAGCUACUUUUAGGCCUGUCA